AGAGAGCAUAAUUUAGUUGACACACAAUAAUUUUUUUAUUUAUUUCCUCUCCUGGGAAACAUGGUACACGUAAAUAGACAAAGAAAAUCUUUUGUAUAUCUCAAGAGAUCAUAUCAAUUGAACAUAAACGAACUAACACUUGCUUGAUUGAUAGGUAAAGCAGUACCCAUAUUUUUAUUCAAUUAAACACAACAGAAAAGAAUAACAUUUUAAUUAACCAGUGCGGUCGGCAUUUCUCCCAUAUUGAGGGACAACAAGAAAAUCCAGAUCCUCAUUCGCAAUGCCACCAUCUGAAAUGCUGAGAAGAGGAAAUAGUGCAACGACCCCCUCCGACCAACUGUUAUCUCCUGAAAAUUUAUAAUAGAAAACUUAGUCGUGAGUAACAUUUCAAAAUUAUAAGAAUCGUAAUUCAACUGAAAAUGGCCUAAAAACCUGCGCAAGUAGUUUCCAUAUUCUUCAAAUCGAAAAGAUCUCUGCUUCGGUAGUCAAAACUCAAGAAGUAGUCAAGUUGCUUCUGCGAGUUUUUGCUAUUUGGGAAAUACACAUAUAUGGUCUAUAUAUAGAUAGACUGAAGUAGCCGACGAUAGUGCCAAGGUGGGUGAUUGGGGCGUAUUUAAUUAUUUACAAGACGACCUAACAACAUUACAUAAUACCGUCUUUUCUUUGAAAAUGCUCUGUUGUUUUCUGAAACAUUUUUUAAUGGCUCAGAAGCAUCUCAUGGCAGAUAAUUGAAGAUCUGUAGUCGGUGCUGGACUCGACAAACAUAGUCCUUUACUUUGCUGGCAAUAUAUAUAGUCUAUGCCAUAAUUCAUAAUAUGUAAAUAUAUAGAUUCAAGCAGAUGCCAGAUCAACGGCUGAUGCGUAGAUUAGUAGAAAACACGAGGGAGCUAGCUAAGAUCAUGGACAGCUAACACAAAUCGUUCAAGGUCAGCAUCAAAAUUAAGGUUACAGUUAGAAUUGAUACCUUUUUAUAUUAAUUAAUACGGAAAUACAAUCUCUUUCGAUAUCACUUCACGUGAUUCUCGCAAUCCAAAGUCAAAUAUCAUAAUAUAUUUGAUGUUAUCAAAUUUCUAAUUUAUGACAUUGUCACUGUUGGCGACUUGAAUUUAUAUAUUUAUUAUAUAUAUUAUGUUGUACACAUAUUUGUACAAAAUUGGACCCAAUGGCAUAAACAAAUGGGCAGCGGUGAUACCACCUUCACCGCUGCUAGAAAGCAGCCAAAAACAGCCACACGAAGCUGAAGUUUCUAGCGCAAAAGGUCACCACAAUUGGCGCGAACUGCUGGAUUUCAAACCCGGUACCACCAGGAAUUUUCUCCUCACGGUAGUGGCCGGCGAGCCUCAAGCUCCUUGUUCUCGAUCUUGUAAUGCGUAUUUCAGCCUCAUACUCGUAGGCCUCAAUUUUAUAAUACGAACCACAGCCUCAUGCUCAUAGGGCUCAUUUAUAUGUAAUACAUAUCUCGAUCUCUUGUGCCCAUAUUUUUAUCUUUCUUUAAUCAAAACAUCAAUAAAAACUACUUAACGCACCCAAAUUUUUGAAAAAAAAAAUAGGACAUAUACACUUACUAGUCGAGAAAAAUCAGUUUUUAAAUUUUAAAAAAAAACUUUUAGGACCGAUCUCAUACAAUACAUAAGAAUUCAUAAUCUGAAAAACCAUACCUUGACAAUCCGUUUUGACUUUUCGCUGAAUUAAUCUAGGCUCCCAGGUCAUGAUCCGUCACCACCACUUAUGUUAGAUCACGAUCCGUCACCACCAAUCUUGUUAGAUCACGAUCCGUCACCAAUGAUCCUCCAGGUUGUGACUCAAGUUUGAUCUGCACUUGACGUGUGGGUGCCUUAAUCACCACUAAAGCAACUAGAAAGAGAAAAUAUUCCUCUCAAAAUCAGAGAGAAAAAUAUUUUUUUUAUCUGUAUAAUGUGGCUGCUGCCUUCUUUUUUAGAGAAAACAAGCCCUUUUAUAUUUCUAUUUGGUGGAAACCCUAGGUUUUAUAUUUAUUAAUUUUUUUAAUUCUAUUAAAUCACAUUUGAUUUAAAUUAAAAAAUAAUAAAACUAAAAGUGGCGUUACUUGUUCUUGUGUUAUAGGGGCCCACGUUGUAAAAUAACACAAAGUCCCUUACACACAAACAUAUUAAAUGAAGCCUCCCACUAGAUAAUAUAUUUAGGCUUUUAACCCAAAUUGCUGGUUAUCUUGCUUAUUAAUCCAGUAGCGGUGCAGUCAAUUAAAUGAGCUAACCCGGAGAUCAUAUGGGUACAUACAAUAUUGGCUACAAUAAUUAGGCCUGUAAUUAAACUAGCCCAAUUAUUCAUUUCGAAAUCCACUCCACUAAAAGAUUGGAAUUGACCUCCAUAAUUGUAUGCUAUCUUGGAUAGUAUUUUUGAAUAAUAAUUUGACCCAUGCCACGUUGAUUUCUUUACUGCAUAAUCAUUUGUACCACAUCGUUAAUUAAAUCAAUAUCUCAACUGUACAAUUAAUUUAAUUACAUCUUGUUCCUUGAUACUUACUGGUUUUCUCUAAUGAUCAUUUUCAACAUACUAAAUAUGUUGACACACUCUGGCCAGAGAAUUCUAUAAUUUGACCCAUUAAGUGAUGUGUUGUACAAAUUCUAUAUUGUUAAUCUAUAACUACAAUACUCAUAAUUGCUCCCACCAAGAUACCGAGUAAUCUUGACUACAAGUGUGUGUCGUGCCCAUUGGUAACUCAAAUGGAUAACAAUUACAAUCAUGAAAUUAUAACUAAUUCAAGAUUAAGAUUACAGUAAAAUCAAUGCCUAUGAGAUUUAAUAAGUUUGACUGUUAUUACAAAGUUAAUUAAAUCUAAUAUGUGAUCUUGUUCAAUCUAGUCGUACUACAUCAAUAAAUUCAUACAUGAUUAAGACAAAUCAUUCAAUGAAUUUAUUACAGUCUAUACCUAAAUAAAGUGCUCAACUUUAUUUAUCAAAUGUGAACUAAAUUUAUUUAAUCAUAAGAUAACUUGUAUUUAUGUUUUCUGUGAAUCCACAUGGUGAUCAAAUAAAUACAUAUAAUAUGAUUAAAUGGAUUUUACUGAAAAUAUUAAUGCAAUUAAGAUACUUGAAUAAAAUACCUUAUUUAUUUUAUUAAUAAGAAAAAUUAUUUAUUACAAUUAAAUAAACACAUAUGCUUUUAAAGAGCAUAUUUCCCAACACUUACAACCAUGGUCAAGUCAAGAUAUGUAAAUAGAUUCUUUAACACAAUUUUAUUUAUAAUUAGUUUUCAUUUAAUUUAACACAAAUGUUCGAUAUUGGGAACGUGCACCAAAAAAACACUUGCGAUUGACAAAGAACGUGAUGGCAAGAAAAGAAGAAUAACGAAUAAGAAGUGGAAUAGGUUUAAGACGUCAACUUUUUUUAGUUAAUUUUUAAAAUCAGGAAAAGAAUGCUAUUUUUGCAGUACUUUUAUUUUAUUUUUUGAAAAAUUAAAAGGGUCACACGGUUCUAGUGAAAAGCUUUCAAAAUAUUGAUUUUCUUCUCGCUCAAUUAAGGUACGGUUUGAUUUUUUGAAAAAAAGAAGAAUAAAACAUGUCAUUUAGACAUUUCCAUUCAAAUUUAUUUGGACUUUAAUUAAAUUCAAAUCUAUUCAGAUAUCAGACAAAAAAAUAAAUGCAACCAAAGUAUUGUUUAAGAUACUAUAAUUUUUUUUUUUUUUAUGGUUUAAGGUGUUAGGAAAAUAUACUCUUUAAAAGCAUAUGUGUUUAUUUAAUUUUAAUAAACAAUUUUUCUGAUUAAUAAGAUAAAUGAGGUAUUUUAUUCAAGUAUCUUAAUUGCAUUAAUAUUUUGAGUAAAGUCCAUUCAAUCAUAUUAUAUGUAUUUAUGCGAUCACCAUGUGGAUUCAUAGAAGACAUAAAUGCAAGUUAUCUUAUGAUUAAAUAAAUUAAGUUUGCAGUUGAUAAAUAAAGUUGGGCACUUUAUUUAGGUAUAGACUGUAAUAAAUUUAUUGAAUGAUUUGUCUUAAUCAUGUAUGAAUUUAUUGAUGUAGUACGACUACAUUGAACAGAACCACAUAUGAGAUUUAAUUAACUUCGUAAUAACUGUAAGACUUAUUAAAACUCAUAUUCAUUGAUUUUACUGUAAUCUUAAUCUUGAGUUAGUCAUGAUUUCAUGAUUGUAAUUGUUAUUCCAUUUGAGUUACCAAUGGGCACGACAGACACUUAUAGUCAAGAUUACCCGGUAUCUUAGUGGGAGCAAUUAUGAGUAUUGGAGUUAUAGAUUAACAAUAUUGAAUUUGUACAACAUAGUGGGAGCAAUUAUGAGUAUUGAAGUUAUAGAUUAACAAUAUUGAAUUUGUACAGCACAUCACUUGAUGGGUUUUCGGCACUUGAUCAUAGAAUUCUCUUGUCUUAGUGUGUCAACAUAUUUAGUAUGGUUGAAAAUGAUCAUUAGAGAAAACCCGUAAGUAUUAAGGAACAAUAUGUAAAUAAUUUGAUUGGACAGUUGAGUUAUCCAUUUAAUUAACNNNNNNNNNNNNNNNNNNNNNNNNNNNNNNNNNNNNNNNNNNNNNNNNNNNNNNNNNNNNNNNNNNNNNNNNNNNNNNNNNNNNNNNNNNNNNNNNNNNNAAGAUAAGUAGCUAUUUGAGUUAAAAGUCUAAAUGUAUUAUUUAGUGGGAGGGUCCAUUUAAUAUGUUUGUGUGUAAGGAGCCUUGUUUUAUUUUACAAGGUGGGCCCCUAUAACACGAGAACAAGUAACGCCACUUUGGUUUUAUUGUUUUUUAAUUUAAAUCAAAUGUGAUUUAAUAGAAUUAAAAAAAAUUAAUAAAUAUGGAGUCUAUGGUUUCUACCAAAUAGAAAUAUAAAUGGCUUGUUUUCUCUAAAAAAGAAGACAGCAGUCAAAUUAUACAGAUCAGAGAAAAAUAUUUUUCUCUCUCUAAUUUUGAGAGGAACAUUUUCUCUUGCUAGUUGCUUUUAGUUGUGAUAAAGGCGUCCACACGUCAAGUGCAUAUCAAACUUGAGUCAUAACCUGGAAGAUCAUUAGUGAUGGAUCGUGAUCUAACAAGAUUGGUGGUGACGGAUCGUGAUCUAACAAGAUUGGUGGUGACGGAUCGUGAUCUAACAUGAGUGGUGGUAAUGGAUCGUGAUCUGGAAGCCUAGAUUAAUUAAGCGAAAAAGCCAAAUCGAAUUGUGAAGAUAUGAUUUUCUAGAUUACGAAUUCCUAUGUAUUGUAUGAGAUCAGUCCUAAAACGUUUUUAUAAAAUAUUUUAAAAAACUGAUUUUUCUCCAACAUAAGGCAUGAGAAAUACAUGUUAAACAAUAGGUCUGUUAUAAUAGGUGUUCAAAACAAUUAUGCUAUAUUACCUCAUAAUAAAUUGUCUUUAACCGUAAUUCACAUAACAAAAAUCUUUAUAAUAAAUUGUUUUGUUAAGAGCGCAACUAUUUGAACUCAAAAAAAAAAAAAACUCUUAACAAUGAUAAUUUUACAAUAAUUUUUAUUAUCAAAUUAUCCAUUAUGACAAUUACCAUUAUGGACCAAAAAAAGAAAACGCCGUAGUUGCUAGGAAGUGAAUGAAAAUUCUGCUUAAACUAAGUUUUGAAGAUACAGAAUCAAAUACCAAAAGCAAACAAUAGAAAGGAAAAAUGAGAAUCUCUAAGGCUUUAAGAAAAAUAGAAUCAUCGAUAUGUAUAACUAAAAAUUAAUUAAGCUGAUUUGAACUCUAUGGCAUUUAUGGAGAUGAAUGAAAAAAGCAAGAAGAAUGUUUUGCGCCUUGCAAGUACGAUAAAAAAUUAUAACGACUUUCAUGAAGGCCAGUGGAUGAAAAAGAAAUCGAUAAUUUCAUUGUAAUCCAUCCGUAAUAUAUUCAGCGGUUUGUAAUUUAAUAUUAGCAAGGUUGAUCAGAGUUAGACCCCUUAUGCUGUAACCAUUUACUAUGAUAUAAAAGGGUGUGAGAAAAGAAAAAAAAACAGUGAAUGAAGAAGAAGAAAACAAGAAGAAGAAGAAGAAGAAAAUUUAUAGGGUAAUUUAAUAUCAGGAUUAUUUUUGGAUUUUUGAAAGAUUUAUAGAGUAAAUUUUUUAUUUUUAAAUUUACAUUGCGUGUCUGUUGAGAAAAUGGGUGUGGAGAGUGAAUUUUUGGGAUCAAAUAGUUAGACCUUUUUAUUAAAAGUUUGAAAAUUUGAUUUCAAACAGUCCAAUGUCAGAUGAAUAACCAUCAUUUAAUGAUAUUGCCUAUUUUAAAAGGCUGAAGCUCUAAAUUUAUAUUGUAUAUUCAAUAAAUUAUGACCCAGGGAUCACUUGCUAACUCCAAGAAGCAGCUAAUCAAUAUGUGAAAUUUAUUUCAGAAAAUUAUCCAACAAGAGAGAGCAUAAUUUAGUUGACACAAUAAUUUUUUUAUUUAUUUCCUCUCCUGGGAAACAUGGUACACGUAAAUAGACAAAGAAAAUCUUUUGUAUAUCUCAAGAGAUCAUAUCAAUUGAACAUAAACGAACUAACACUUGCUUGAUUGAUAGGUAAAGCAGUACCCAUAUUUUUAUUCAAUUAAACACAACAGAAAAGAAUAACAUUUUAAUUAACCAGUGCGGUCGGCAUUUCUCCCAUAUUGAGGGACAACAAGAAAAUCCAGAUCCUCAUUCGCAAUGCCACCAUCUGAAAUGCUGAGAAGAGGAAAUAGUGCAACGACCCCCUCCGACCAACUGUUAUCUCCUGAAAAUUUAUAAUAGAAAACUUAGUCGUGAGUAACAUUUCAAAAUUAUAAGAAUCGU
rnacentral:lncRNA from 1 species